UUGCUUUAAAUUUAACCUCUGCUUCCCUAUAUUAGAUCUGUCGGCAUGUCCGACUAUGGCGAUAAACGCUUUUCGGAAUAGGCGUAGCGGACCCGGGGGCAGUACCCGGCGCCUCCACCAAACCUGCCGGUCCCUAGUGAGAGACAGGCUUUAUGGGGGCGAAACAGGCUCGACGCGCGUAGUAAAGGGAUAGUUUUCGCCCGGCAUGGUACCGCCGUUACCGGACCAAACCUAAAGAUGCCAACGAUAACCGUAUGGCUCCUGCUACUCUCGCUGCGUAAGCAGUGUGAAUUAGCGCGGUUCGGGGGGCACCGGGCAACAGAAGCCCCCCACU
rnacentral:tmRNA from 1 species